rnacentral:lncRNA from 1 species
AAUACAGUACUAAUUCACCUUUUGUAGGAGCUAUUCCACUCGACAAACAAAUGACUCCAAGAACCUCUCUUACACUCUUGAUCCUUGCUCUCAACCUCCUCUUCUUCACUUACACAUCUGCCGCAUUAUUGCCACCGAUCCCGGGCAUCACGGUCCUCCCGGGCAUCACGGUCAUCCCGGGCAUCACCGUCCCGGGCAUCACGGUCCCGGGCAUCCCGGCCACGCCAAACACCCCAGCCACGCCAAACACCCCGACCAAGCCAAACACCCCGACCAAGCCAAACACCCCGACCAAGCCAACGAUCCCGACCACGCCAGCCACCCCAGCCACCCCAGCAACGCCAGCCACCCCUGCCACUCCAGCCACCCCAGCAACGCCAAACACCCCAACGUCUCCGACACUCCGCACACCUCCAGGCACAGGUUCUUUAUCCUAGAGAUGCUCUAAAGAACGGUGUUUAAGCUAUUGGACCUAAGAUUGGAAUCUCACCUGAGCCAUGUUGCUCAUCUAAGGCUUUUUGUUGUUUAUAUUUGGUUUUUAUGUGUGCAACUUAUGCAUUUGCUGAGUAUCUUGAAUUUCUAAAGUUUGUUUGUUUUAAGAAAAUAUGUCGCACAUAAUUUAGACAGCAUAUAAAAUAUUUUCUAACUUUUAUCAUUUUUCAAAUACACAGGUUUACUUUUUCUCUACGUAAUUAGACUUUAUUUUAUGAGGAUAAACUAUGACUUUUUGUUAAAGUUUUGCAUUGAAACAACACUUUUUUUUUGAAAAGAAAACAAAGAUCUAAAACAACACUUAAUUUUAAAAGAAAUAAUGUAUUUUGUAAAGGAUUUUUUUUUUUUUUGUAUAUAAAAAAUUAAUAUUUCAUCCCAACCGGAUUUUAGGCCAUGGACUUGGGAAAUGGGGUUUACAUCUAAUUUACAAUUUCAAAAAAAGAAGGAAACCGAUGACUCGAAAUUGGACAUUGAUGGUGUUCGGAAACAAGGAAACACAUCCACUACUACCGGCGAUUACAAGAAACACUGCUUUGCGGCUACAUCAACGAUAUCGAAUCCAGGUAAUAAGUUCAUGUCGCAAAGCCGAUCCGGACGACAAGCCUCAACCCGCAACAUUUAUCCCGAAAUAGAUCGGUUCUCAGAAAAUCUGAGACCUAAUCUAUCUAAUCCCCUACCUAGCAAAAAGGGAGAACUCAGAUCGAUCUAACACUUAGCCUCCGGUACCAACAAGCAUCAGACAUAAAAAAAGGGACCUUUCAGCUUCAUAUGUCAAGGUUCCAGAUCGCUAUGUUGACGCUAUCUUCUAACCACCACGUUAUAUAUCCUUCUUGUUGCACUUGCACCACAAAACCUCUAUAUUUCAUUUUCAGAUCUCUUUUUCUAUGUAUACGUAAACAUAUCUAUAUAGUAUAUAUACGUUAUUGGAAUUCUUUGCUAAGAACUUGAAAUGAAGCAAACAGUCUUAUUAGGUAACACAAAAAAAAAAGAAGUUUUUUUCAGAUUUCUCAAUGUUCUUUUACCAAAAUAUGUUAUUGUUCUUUUUUUCCGCCAAAUAUGGUAUUGUUCAUAUUCAAGGUCCGUGAGCUUUGCUUCAGAGUAGUAGGCUUUGGAUACUUUUGAUAAAACCCCAUAUUGUAUGUCAAGGCCCAUUAAGAUGCGGAUCCAAGCCUUGACGUUUAAACAAAUAUAAGUCUUCUCGUAGGUAACAUCAAAGGCCUAUUAGCUCAGUUGGUUAGAGCGUCGUGCUAAUAACGCAAAGGUCACAGGUUCGAUCCCUGUAUAGGCCAUUACUUUUUAUAUUUUUAGUCAUCGUCGUUCCAACUUCCCCAACCAUCAUCAAUAUUUGAUUUUCAUUCCACUCAGGUGGUCACUUCACCAGUAGAGUUUUUGUGUGAAUUGAUAACAAAAAUGUUUGUAAGCUUAAAUUUUUCCUGUGCAUAGUAAAACAAAAAAACCAAGCACUGUAAUCUCUUCUUGGAGAUUUUUUUAGCCACCAACACUGUUCAUUCGUCUAACUUAACUUUUUUUUUUUUUUUUGAUAAACCCUAUCGGCUGAUCCGGUCGGCCUCGGUAGGAACACACCGAGGUGCUACAGAGUGGACUUCUUCCGAUCCAGGUAGAAUUGGGUCACCACACUGGCUGAUCCGAGUUUGGAAUGCCUUCCGACUAAUGCCAGGGGUAGUCAGGCCGCCUGCAUUUCUGACUACCAGGUAAACCAAUUGGGCCAAGGUCCAACUGAGUAACUGACAGACUUCCCAAACAAAUGUGUUUUUGUUUCCAGGGAGAAUCGAACUCGGGUCUGGGAGUUUCACCCAAAUUCACUUCCACACAAUACAAAUUUGUAACAAAGGUUAAUGAAUUCUUGUGAUUUAUCAACAAACAAAAAUAACCAAAAUGUGACAUAUGAGAGACUAAGUUGUUGUAGACUAAUGGUUAUCACUUAAAAUGUAAAAAAAUUUCGUAGGUCUAGAUCAAGAAUCGAUUACUCUCAAAUAUUUUAAGAAAAAUCUGCACUUUGUAGUACAUUGGUUACCCUUAGAUAUUUUAAAUAUUUUUAAAAGCUAUGAUUUUUAUGGGUUCUGGAAAUUAAUUUUGAUUUUAAUUUAGUAUUUCUCUGUUUGAAAAAGAAAAGCAACUAAAUAAAAUAGAAAACAUGUAGAAAAAAUCAUGAUAUUUUUGCCUGUCCAAUUGUGAAAGUAGAUGGUUGGAUCUUUGUGUUUGGCAAAAUGGCAAUAGAAACGUAGAUCUAUAUUAUGACAAAACAAAAAAAAAAUCGAAGAGGCAAAAGCGCCAAUCUGUUAACUGAUUCAAAGCCACUCCUUCCAUAUCUUUGUUCAUAAACAAACGCUUAUCUUCUUAUCAUCUUCAAAAGUUUUCUCUUUUGCCUCUCAACAUUACAUGCCCUACAACAUAAAUGCGAGGACGUCGGUUAUAAACGGACACUAACAAAAUUAUGUCGUUUAUUCAACCGACUUGCUAAGGGCCAACGUAAGUUAUAUAGCCUGGAUUACGGAUUACCUACCAUGAAAUAUCUCAAUAAUAAGUCUUAUUCUAUGUUCCAUAAUCAUAAGAUUAUAAUUUCAUUCAAAUAUACUUCUUUGAAAUAAUACUGAUAUUUAAUAAAUAGUAUUGGGUUUCUUCAAAUUAUGCAUGCUUCGGAUAUUUGAUUAACUUUGUUUCACGAACUCUAAAGCCCUAAAUUAAUAUGAAUAAUUUUAAAAAUAAGUUUAUCAAAGAUAUAGCUUUAUUGCUGGCAACAAAAAAGGUAUAGCUAUAUUGCAAGAUCUUAUACUAUUAUUUGGGGAGUACACUUUAUAAGAUACCCUUAACUAACCUUUCCUUUUGUAAGAAUUUACUUAAGAAUGCCAUUACAAAAAUCUUCUUUUAGAACAAAUUUCAUUCAAUUUAUUAAGAAUAAACAAGUAAAGUACUAGUUUAUGUCAUUUAAUUAAUUUGACUAAAUUAUAAAACGAAAAUUUGUUAUUAUUUUUUUUAAAUGACCAAUCAAAAUGAACAUAUAAGAUUUGAUAUCUAACUUAUCAUAUUAAUUUGUUAUUAAUCAUUAAACUUCACCUCUCAUCUUAAUAUGAUUAUAUUAAUAUGAAAAAAACUAAAUCAUCAUAUCAUCUACAUAAUAAAAAAAAAGUAAUUUUUUUUUCUGCAUAUGCCAAGAUUUGAAUUUUUAAAAACGCAUAUAAAUUGUUCAAUCUAUAAAGGAAACAAUUAAACGGGUCAAAAAUUCAGACUUGAGUAGUAUAUUUCUUUUACACAAAAAUAAAGUCAACAAAAAUUCCGACUGAGCAACAGGUCAGAAUUUGAAUAUUUAGAUUCGAUUUCAUACAUUUAUUUUUUUGAAAUGCAUAAUUUUAUAUACUACAAUAAAAAUUUAAAUAUUUUAAUUUGCAACAAUUAAAAUAAGUUUUACUUGAUAUUUUUAGAGAAUAUCAUCAAUACUUAAUAGUUCAAAAAGUUAAAAAUUAUAAAUACUCUAAUUUGAUUAUUUUUAAAAAUAUUUAUAAUAGUUAGCGGGUUAAAUAUAAUAUAUUAUACGAUGAAAUGAGUUUUGAUCCAUAUAACUAUUUGAAUAGUUAUAUUUAAUUUCAUACAAUUUGUUUUUUGAAAUUCAUAAUUUUAUAAACUACAAAAAAAAUUUAAAGGUUUUAAUUUGGAAUAUUUAAAAAUAGUGUAGAACAUUUAAAUAUGGUUUGACACCUCUAAAUAUUUGAAAAUUUGAUUCUGCAAGCAAUUUUAGAAUUAACGAAUAAUAGAUUGUGCACGCAAUAUUUUAAAAUGAAAUAUUGAGAUUCUAAAAUAAAAAUAUAGACUCCACGCACGGGUUGAUUUUUGUAUUAUUAUAUACUAAAUAUAUGUUUUUAACAUAUUUGAUUAUGCGAAUAAUUGGUAAAUUCCGUAAUUAUAAAUCUCAAACAAAUUCUGUAAUUAGAUUAGCUCAAACAAAUCUCUAUUUCAACAACCAAAGAAUCAUAAAUUGAAAAAGAAUUUUCUAAAUUAAUUCAAAAUAAUUGCUAAUUUUCUUAAUUAAUUCAAAAUAAUCUAUGUUUUAUAUGGGAUUCAUUUAUGAUAUUUUAAUUUUUGAUCUAACUGAAAUAUAUGCAAUCCUAUUUUGUGGUUGUUAACAUAAAUUAACUCAUUGUUCAAAAAAUAUUACUUUUCAAGAAAUAAAAUUAUUUUCUGUUUUCAUAUCUUAAAAAAAUUUAUCUAUAAUUGAGUAUUAUAAAAAAAGUUCUAUAUUUAUUCUAAUAUUGUAUACAGGGACUGACAAAAAAAUUAAUAUUUUUUCACUUACUAUUAUAAUAUAUUAAAACUUAGUUCUAAUAUAUGUAUUAUAUAAAUUUUGUAAUAAAUAAAAUUCAACCCGUACUUUAGUACGGAUGAUGAUCUAGUUAAAUAUAUAUAAGGAUAUCUCUAUAUUAUAUUCGUUAAUUGUGAUUUGUCUGGUUUAGUUUUCAACGAACAAAUAGUUAAAUAAUACUUUCUUUGUUUCUAAAUAUAAAAUUUUAGAGUUUUUAUUCUGUUUUAAAAUAUAAAAUUUAUUCACGUUUCUAUGCAUAUAUUUAUUUUCAUACUGUUAAAAGUAUCUAGUCAAAAAAAGCCAAAGAUCAAUCACAACUCGUAUUGAUGGCUUCCGAAAUUUUAAUGUGACUAUUAGUAUUCUUUCUCUACGAAUGAUUUUUGUUUAUCAAAUGAUGUUUUUGUUUAAGAAAUAAUUCUUUUUUAAUUUGUGUGUUUUAACCAAAAUAUCAUAUAUUUUAUUUUGAUAUUCAUCGUAACUUUCCAAAUUCAUAUCUCAAUGAAAAAUUAAAAGUUUUUAAAUACGGAAAACACAACUUACAAUCUAUGAAAGUUAUUUUAUCGACAAUCGUAGUACAUAUUAUAUAUAGUUUUAGGAAUUGAAAUAUCAUCAUUCUUCUAAUGAGAACCCUAUAAAUACCCACUAAACACUUGAAGAAAACUAAAUACAGUACUAAUUCACCUAUUGUUGGAGCUAUUCCACUCGACAAACAAAUGACUCCAAGAACCUCUCUUACACUCUUCCUUGCUCUCAACCUCCUCUUCUUCACUUACACAUCUGCCGCAUUAUUGCCACCGAUCCCGGGCAUCUCGGGCAUCCCGGGCAUCCCGGACAUCCCGGGCAUCCCGAACAUCCCGGGCAUCCCGGACAUCCCUGGCAUCCCGGACAUCCCGGGCAUCCCAGCCACGCCAAACACCCCAGCCAACCCAGCCACGCCAAACACCCCAGCCAACCCAGCCACGCCAAACACCCCAGCCAACCCAGCCACGCCAAACACCCCAGCCAACCCAGCCACGCCAAACACCCCAGCCAACCCAGCCACACCAAACACCCCAGCCAACCCAGCCACACCAAAAACCCCGGCCACGCCAAACACCCCGACCACGCCAACGACCCCUGCCACUCCAGCCACCCCAGCAACGCCAAACACACCAGCAACACCGACCACCCCAACGUCUCCGACACCCCGCACACCUCCAGGCACAGGUUCUUUAUCCUAGAGAUGCUCUAAAGAACGGUGUUUAAACUAGUGGACCUAGAUUGGAAUCUCACCUAAGCCAUGUUGCUCAUCUAAGGCUUGUUGACCUUGAGUCUUCAUUAUUCCUCUAUCUCUUCUUUGUAAUUGUGUCUUUUCAAUUUGAAUAAUAAAAUUAUAUCAACCGACCCAUGUUAUUGUUUAUAUUUGGUUAAUAUGUGUGCAACUUAUGCAUUUGCUGAGUAUCUUGAAUUUCCAAAGUUUGUUUUGUUUUAAGAAAUUAUGUCGCACAUAAUUUAGACAACAUUAAAAUAUUUUCUAUCUUUUAUCAUUUUUCAAAGACACUGUGUUAACUUUUUCUAUAGCAGUGCGAGUAGUUGAGCCACGAUAAAUCUCCAACACGAUACCACUGGCGUCCUCGCCACGAGGUAAAACGUCGGGAGGCUUCUCUAGAUAGUCUAGACUGCCGAGAUGUUUGGGUUAAAUGCAUCAUGAAGCGGAUAAUCCACGCCUCAUCACUGCCGGAGAAGAAAGCCUUCUCACCAACGCUUCACCAAAAAAAUCCACACCUUCAAUGAGGAUCUAAAAGCAACAAAAAAAACCCGGAAGUAAAUCUUUUUUUUUCCAAAGAUCCAAAGAGAGAAAAGAGAGAAGCGAUAGAACGAUUGUCCU